rnacentral:rRNA from 1 species
CGUGUAGGCGGCUGGAUAAGUCAGAUGUGAAAGCCCCUGGGCUUAACCCAGGAAGUGCAUUUGAAACUGUUCAGCUUGAGUAAGGGAGAGGAAAGUGGAAUUCCUGGUGUAGAGGUGAAAUUCGUAGAUAUCAGGAGGAACACCGGUGGCGAAGGCGACUUUCUGGCCCUAUACUGACGCUGAGACGCGAGAGCGUGGGUAGCAAACA